rnacentral:rRNA from 1 species
CGGGGGGCAGCAGUGGGGAAUAUUGGACAAUGGGCGAAAGCCUGAUCCAGCAAUGCCGCGUGAGUGAUGAAGGCCUUAGGGUUGUAAAGCUCUUUUAGUAGAGAAGAUAAUGACGGUAUCUACAGAAAAAGCCCCGGCUAACUCCGUGCCAGCAGCCGCGGUAAUACGGAGGGGGCUAGCGUUGUUCGGAAUUACUGGGCGUAAAGAGCGCGUAGGCGGUCUUUCAAGUUGGAAGUGAAAGCCCAAGGCUUAACCUUGGAACUGCUUUCAAAACUGAAAGACUAGAGGGUGUUAGAGGAUGGUGGAAUUCCUAGUGUAGAGGUGAAAUUCUUAGAUAUUAGGAGGAACACCGGUGGCGAAGGCGGCCAUCUGGGACACAACUGACGCUGAGGCGCGAAAGCGUGGGGAGCAAACAGGAUUAGAUACCCGAGU